CACUGUCAUCCUACGGGGAGGCAGCAGUGGGGAAUAUUGCACAAUGGGCGCAAGCCUGAUGCAGCCAUGCCGCGUGUAUGAAGAAGGCCUUCGGGUGUAAAGUACUUUCAGUCGUGAGGAAGGCGGCGUCGUUAAUAGCGGCGUUGUUUGACGUUAGCGACAGAAGAAAGCACCGGCUAACUCCGUGCCAGCAGCCGCGGUAAUACGGAGGGUGCGAGCGUUAAUCGGAAUUACUGGGCGUAAAGCGCAUGCAGGUGGUUUGUUAAGUCAGAUGUGAAAGCCCGGGGCUCAACCUCGGAAUUGCAUUUGAAACUGGCAGACUAGAGUACUGUAGAGGGGGGUAGGAAUUUCAGGUGUAGCGGUGAAAUGCGUAGAGAUCUGAAGGAAUACCGGUGGCGAAGGCGCCCCCCUCGGACAGAUACUGACACUCAGAUGCGAAAGCGUGGGGAGCAAACAGGAUUAGAUACCCUGGUAG
rnacentral:rRNA from 1 species